rnacentral:rRNA from 1 species
UACAGAGGUCCCAAGCGUUGUUCGGAUUCACUGGGCGUAAAGGGUGCGUAGGCGGUCGGAUAAGUCUGAUGUGAAAUCUUCGAGCUCAACUCGGAAACUGCAUCGGAAACUAUUUGGCUAGAGGAUUGGAGGGGAGACUGGAAUUCUCGGUGUAGCAGUGAAAUGCGUAGAUAUCAGGAGGAACACCAGUGGCGAAGGCGGCUUCCUGGACACCAACUGACGCUGAGACGCGAAAGCGUGGGGAGCAAACAGG